AGGGAAUAUUGGGCAAUGGGGGGAACCCUGACCCAGCAACGCCGCGUGAGGGAAGAAGGUUUUCGGAUUGUAAACCUCUGUCCUAUGUGACGAAGGAAGUGACGGUAGCAUAGGAGGAAGCCCCGGCUAACUACGUGCCAGCAGCCGCGGUAAUACGUAGGGGGCGAGCGUUGUCCGGAAUUACUGGGCGUAAAGGGUGCGUAGGCGGCCUGUUAAGUUGGAUGUGAAAUACCCGUGCUCAACAUGGGGGGUGCAUUCAAAACUGGGAGGCUAGAGUACAGGAGAGGGAAGCGGAAUUCCUAGUGUAGCGGUGAAAUGCGUAGAUAUUAGGAGGAACACCAGUGGCGAAGGCGGCUUUCUGGACUGACACUGACGCUGAGGCACGAAAGCGUGGGGAGCAAAC
rnacentral:rRNA from 1 species